rnacentral:rRNA from 1 species
UACGUAGGCGGCUUUUUAAGUCGGAUGUGAAAUCCCUGAGCUUAACUUAGGAAUUGCAUUCGAUACUGGGGAGCUAGAGUAUGGGAGAGGAUGGUAGAAUUCCAGGUGUAGCGGUGAAAUGCGUAGAGAUCUGGAGGAAUACCGAUGGCGAAGGCAGCCAUCUGGCCUAAUACUGACGCUGAGGUAGAAAGCAUGGGGGGCAAACA